AGAGUUUGAUCAUGGCUCAGGAUGAACGCUGGCGGCGUGCUUAAUACAUGCAAGUCGAACGAAGACAGUAGCAAUAUUGUCUGAGUGGCGAACGGGUGAGUAACGCGUUGGUGACCUGCCCCGAAGAGAGGGAUAACAGUCCGAAAGGAUUGCUAAUACCCCAUGUGGUUAUUUGGAUUAGAUGCCUUAUAACUAAACGGAUUUAUUCGCUUCGGGAGGGACCUGCGUCCCAUCAGCUAGUUGGUAGGGUAACGGCCUACCAAGGCUAUGACGGGUAGAGGACCUGAGAGGGUGGCCCCCCACAAUGGAACUGAAACACGGUCCAUACACCUACGGGUGGCAGCAGUAGGGAAUAUUGGUUAAUCUGCGAAAGCGGGAACCAGCAACGCCGCGUGCACGAUGAAGGCCUUCGGGUUGUAAAGUGCUUUUUGAAAGGAUGAGGAAGGACAGUACUUUCAGAAUAAGCUUCGGCUAACUACGUGCCAGCAGCCGCGGUAAAACGUAGGAAGCGAGCGUUAUCCGGAUUUACUGGGCGUAAAGCGUGUGUAGGCGGUUUGACAAGUUGGAUGUGAAAGCUCCUGGCUUAACUGGGAGAGGUCGUUCAAAACUGUCAGACUUGAGAGUGGUAGAGGGAGGUGGAAUUCCGGGUGUAGUGGUGAAAUGCGUAGAUAUCCGGAGGAACACCAGUGGCGAAAGCGGCCUCCUGCCCAUUUCUGACGCUCAGACACGAAAGCUAAGGUAGCAAACGGGAUUAGAGACCCCGGUAGUCUUAGCUGUAAACGAUGUGAACUUAGUUAAGAACAUCGAUAUCCCACGGCAGCGGAGCAUACGGUGGGAGAUCUUCUGCAAGGAGAGAGGGCCUCAAGGCUAGAAAUUCAAAGAAAUGGCCGA
rnacentral:rRNA from 1 species